CGAAGGGGAGGCUAGCGUUGUUCGGAGUUACUGGGCGUAAAGGGCGCGUAGGCGGCGCACCAAGUCAGGCGUGAAAGCCCUGGGCUCAACCCGGGAAUUGCGCUUGAGACUGGUGUGCUUGAGUACGGGAGAGGAUAGUGGAAUUCCCAGUGUAGAGGUGAAAUUCGUAGAUAUUGGGAAGAACACCGGUGGCGAAGGCGGCUAUCUGGACCGUAACUGACGCUGAGGCGCGAAAGCGUGGGGAGCAAACAGG
rnacentral:rRNA from 1 species